UCUAACAACAGACAAUGUGUGGAAGAUAAGAGUGUGAGUCAUGCUAGACUGAAGGAAUGCCUGUAUCAAACUUUACAUUAUUACACACGUCAUUACUAUUACCAAUGAUACCACAGUAGGCAUCUGUUGAGCCCUGGCCCCUUUUUCCUCACAAGUUAACCUUUGACCUAUACCUGACAGAGCCCAUGUGACCUAUCUGAGUGUCUUUGUUACCUGAUAUUACCCACAUUCCCCAGGGGGAAUUAGGGUGGUGAUACUGUAGAAUACAGAGACACAUACCUAUAAGGGCAGGGUCUGCAGCCUGAGCCUUACUCCACAAGCACAUGUUCUCUGGAAUUCAAAAGCACAAAACACAUAUGAAACAUGGAACCUCUACUUCCCUUUUUUAUUGUAAUACGUUCUUUUUUCUACUGUAAGGGAAAGGGACUUCUUAAAUGUCGCUUCUAGCUUCUAGUGUGAGAUUAUAUACUGUAUCUGUGUGAUUUGGGUGUGUGGCUGUGUGUAUAUGUGUGGAUGGGUUGGGGGUGAGAACAUGACAUAUCUCCCCAGUUACUAAUAGGGACCAAACAGGCAUAUAAUCAAUCAAGCCAGAAGCCUUUGAAACACCUCCAUGACUUAUUGACGGUCAUUUCUAUCGUCUUUCGGGGUUUCUUACUCUGUACACAAUCUAUUUGUAGCUAACUCCAAGUGAAGAUGGUGUCUCAUUACUCAUUUCAACUCCUACAAAUUAUAUACCAAGAGGUACAUAAAGAUCUCUUCACGCAAUUACUGCAAUGCCUCAAACAGAAAAGUAAAGGUGAAAUUUGUCCCCAGAUACCAAUAUAUCAAUAGCUUCAGUUCAGGGAUCUUUUUCAUAUAAAUUAGUCCAAGUACUGAAGUGUAGGAGGUAUUUAUCAGACCCCUCUCCCUUCCACUGAAGCUAUCAAUUUGAUUAUCUGAGGCUAAAAAUAAUGAGAACCAAGUGUAAAUUGUGAAGGCUCUAGGAAGAUAUCUAGAACCAUGAUUAAUAUGCCAAGUAAAGCAAAAAUCAAGUUGUUCCAAAACUGAAAACUAAUGUAAUACUGAGAAGUACAAAUAGCACAAUUGCAGCUUUGAGGAUGAAAGAGUUCUAGAUCAUUUUUUAUCCAUUUUUGACACAGGUCUCUUUUCACAUUUGACAUUUGUAAUCGAAGAACCCAAUAAAGGGAAACUAUACUCAGGCUGUAGCAUUAACUCCUUGGCAGGGAAAGAUACACUUUCACCAAGCCCUCAACAUGUUUACCUGCUCAUGAAAGAAAAUAGGAUAUUGACACUUGCCUUUAUAUAGCACAACUUAAAUAUGAAAGCUGUGACUUUGAACACAUCGACUGUUUAACACCUUGAUAUUUUUUAAAGAGAAACAUUUUUUGCAUAUCUUGCACCUAUAUGACAGAGACAAAGUUUCCCUUUACAACUAUUCCUAAGUAAGCUACUUUAAUUAAGGGAUUAUUUUUAGCACACAGAAAUUUGCCAAUUUUUCCAACUUUACCAUUCCAGUGACUCCAAUUUUCUUGGCUUCCCUUAGUGCCUGAAAGUACAAACACACAUAUAUUAUCAAAGAUGCCACAGAACAACCAUAGAAGUUAAAAAAGUAAUAAGACCGCAAGUUUCAACAGGUUGAUAACUCACUGCACAACUAGUGGCCAGUUGGCAGUAUUUACAUCCUAAACUAUUUUUAUCCACCCCAAGAGUGGGGUCUCCUUUGUGAGUAAACAACCUAUUACCACAGACGAUGACGACUGUUCUCAGAGACCCUGAAUGCUGCAGCUGUGUGUAUCAUUGGUCUCAUAUUGUUACUAAUGUAUAGCAGUCAUCUUGGUGCCUGAAAAUGGCCACUACAAACAUGGCAACAAUAAGGUAGGAGAAUUCUAUCCCCUAAUGGAACCAAACUGGCUAAAAAGAGAAACCCACAUGAAGUUAGAUCACUGGCUGCUAAUCUUUAAUACAUGUAUGUGACUGUAUGAGAGACGUUUUGUGCAGUCAGUUUGACCGUUAUAACAAUGCCGAUUAAAGUAACACUAGAAAACUUAACAAGCAUUCAUAGUGCAGCACACAGUCAUUUAGUUACCUGAAACACUUUCUCAGUCAGAAUAUCAAUGCCACUUGUAUAACUUGUAUAACAAAGUGUGCUUCUCUACGCCACAGCACACAAUGGCGUUCUGCUGUAAGAGCUGCAUGGACACUGCCAUCACACACAGACACAAUGCACAGACACACACACACACCCAUGCCCGCACACACACACUUAUGCACACACACGUAUGCACACUCGCAUACAUGCACAGUCGCACACAACACAUACACACAUACGACACUUGCAUGCACAUACGCACACAAUUAAACCUGGAAGGUCACCACACACAUUCUAACAUGCAAUGAGUGAGAUGCUGAGCACAGCACUAAAACCCCUGACGGCCCUAGGGCUCGGGCCUGACCUUUGACCAGUGUGUCACCAUAGGGAUUGAGUGUUGGAACACUAUUAUGUUCAAACUCACUGUUGUAGGAGCAUGAAGUUAAACAUGAUGAUAUUUGUUUUGCACCACUAUCUUAAAAAGCAUGAUAUUGAAGUGCCUCCUUGCACUUUGUGUACAUAUUGAAGGUAACAAAUAUUUUGUUUUAUUUUUGGGAGGGGGGGUUGACAUGGUAUGUAGGAAUAGAGAUUAAUUGCUGUGACAGUUUUUUGUAAUCCUCUAGAGAAAUAUUAUCUAUGUUCUGAAUAAAAAUAGAUUAGUCAAAAUGUCGAGAAAAUAAUGUGUAAUAAAUUGCUUAUUAUUAUUUGUUAAUAGCUGUUAACUAGUUUUCUCACUUAGCUGCCACACAUCAAUAUAUACAUAUCUUUUUUUGUAUCUAAUGUAAGCGUUUUGAAUGUUUGUUCCAUGGAGAUAUAAGUUGUGUCCAUUCAUUUUCAUUGUGCAUACAUGUUCCAGAGAUCACAAUGAUUCUGAAGCGCACAAUGUUGAACUGGAAAGACAAAUAGAAAGAGGAGAAACUAUCUGAUUAAAAAAAGGAGUCCAUGUGGGGUGAUGUGCUGUUUCUAAGUUGGUGAAAUGUGGAUGUUAUCAUGACUAGGUUUCCAGAGGAAGAGGAAAAGGUCAAAUUUACCAUUAACUAAUGAAACAAGUACAGCUUAGCUCGUUCAUUAUGACUAAAAUAGCAAAUCUGAUCAGAAUGUCUGGCCUUGCACCUAACAAAAUAUAGCUCCUCAUGUGGUCACCCAGAUCCUGUUCCAGGAAUCAUCUAGACUUUCUAACAGAGAACACCACACUCACCAUCAGUGUCCGCCUCCUUGUCUUGUGCUUUAUGCAUCAUAUUGUGGUAACUACAAGACAUACAUAUUUACACCAAACAGUCAUAAUUCAUGUUUAGAUUAUUCCUUACAGUUAGAGACAGUAACUGUAAUGAGCCCCAGUGUCAUAUCCAUACACUAGCCUCUGUCUAUCCAGAACUAUCAACCCACCAGUACCAUUUCAUAAACCUAUCCAGACACAUAUUGGUAACUUUGCCUUUUUGCCUAUCUUCAUUUUCAUCACAAUUGUUUGCACACACACAAACAAACCCAAUAUUGAGUAAAGAGGAUGUUCAAAUGGAAAUGGGUUGGCACAGUAUUUCUAAGAUGAGCCAGUAUAUCUUCAAGUCUGUAUUCUACAGAAGUCUCUGUCUUUCUGAUAGGCUCCUCCUGAGUAGACCUGAUAACCUUUCUCACUCCUGCCCUACCUUUCGCUCCCUCGCUUACUGUUCUAGGAUGUCCCUUAUUUGUAAAACUGUUGCUGUAAUUUUGAUGUAAAGGGAGAGAGUAUGUCUGGGAGACAGAAUAUUACAAAAUAAAGACAAAAAAUAUCUGAUUUAUUUUCUUUACCAGAUCUGUGGUAUAAAAGUAUGUUCAUACAUAUCAAUAAGUGUUGUACCAUUGGUGUACAUACGAUUAUGAUAACUAAUAAAUGUUGAUUCAUAACUAAA
rnacentral:lncRNA from 1 species